rnacentral:rRNA from 1 species
CACACCGCCCGUCACACCAUGGAAGCUGACUCGACCAGAAGAUGGUCAGACUAACCGUAAGGAGGUCUCUGUCGAAGGUAGGGUCGGUGACUGGGGUG